UCCUGCUCCUUCCUGCGGUCGCUUCGUUGAAGAAAAAGACUGAAUGUUUGCCCCUCGAUGAAAAAAGGCCUGAAUGUUUGCCUCAAAAAGACGACAAAUUGGAGCCUGUGUAGAGGGGCAGCUAGCAUCGACCACUGACCGUUCUCUGAGGAUUCCACUCUGCCCGCACGUCUCCAGAUCCUCCAGAGCCUGAGACCAGAAGUUCUCCUCCUGGUCCGGUUCUGUCCCGUCCUGACCAAGCACGAACCUGCACCCCCGCCAACCCCAGAGGUCACAGCUAAAUGAAGUUUCCUAUUCCAACAACAACAACAACAUCCAACAAUACGGGCACAAUAAAGCAACUGCGCCGCCACACGGAAGCAACCGGAAACGCGGCCGCCUCUCGGAAGCGGCAGACGGCCAAUCAGACCUCAUCGGAAACUCAGCUACUCACUGUCUACCUCGUGUGGAGAAAAGUGGUACUACAAGACUGGCGAGGCCGCCACCGCGAGGGAGACGAGACACGGUCCACAUCACAAACGUGCAAUCAGUUUAAAUGCAGCACUUUGGGCGCACGUUAAUUUUUUUGCCCUCAUCGGGACUUGGCAACUGGACGUUCUUUGGGACGCCAUCCCGUCACCGUCGUUUCCAGAAGAUGGUCCAAACUUUGACCGGUUGUGGCUGAAACCUUUUCCGGCUUCUGGACGAAAGUGUCGUUUUUGUCGCAGGCUCGAGUAUGCAAAGACUGGCCAACUUUUGCGGCAAAAGUUCUUUGGACUUUUAUUUCUGCCGUCACUGACGAGUUGCCCAGCUUUGCCCUCUGCUCGACGCUGAGACGGAAUUUGUGAGUAUCGCAAGUAAAAAUUUAAAAUGGGAAAAAAGCCCAGAGCAGGUGGCUUCGACUGACAUCGGGUUCCGGCGGCAACGCACCGGAUGUCAGUGUUGACCUCUUGUAACUUGUAACGCCGCAGAUGAGGCUGAAGGAGGGUAAGGACGCCGGCGUGGACGUUCCAGCAGGAAGCUUUCUCGUCGUCUUCCUUUGCUGUCACGAUGGCCUCUUGUGCGACUUCACAGAACUGAGACGCGCAUCGGUGAUCUGAAACUCAAAUUUUGCAUCUUUCUUUUGUGCAAUUGCAGUCUGGGAUGCGCUGAAACUUGACCUUCUCGCUUCUGGACAUUUGCAUGUCCCUGCUGCUCACGUCCACCAGGUGGCGCUGAAGAAUCACUGGAGAAUUUGAUUGCCUCAAAGUACUGUAAAUUUCCUUUCAGAGUCAAACCUUUUGCAAAGACAGACUGAAUGAAUCCAGACACUUGGUUUGUUAUUGUCGGUGGUGGGGGAAAAGAUGGUAUCAUCUAGAUUUUCAAUAUAAUUCCAUAUUUUUGUACUGUGUUUUGUUGACAGUUUGGAGAAAGGGUUAGUUUCACUGUCACUUCUAGACGCUUAUUGACACACAGCAAAGUCAAAUGUUGGCUCAAAAUUAAGUUUAUAAUUUUAUUUACAUUUUUAGAUAUGCAAUAUUUUACACAUUGCAUCAC